rnacentral:lncRNA from 1 species
GGUGGGUCCCUUCAGUAGUACCGUAACGGUGGGUCCCUUCAGUAGUACCGUAACGGUGGGUCCCUUCAGUAGUACCGUAACAGUGGGUCCCUUCAGUGGUACCGUAACGGUGGGUCCGUCCCUUCAGUAGUACCGUAACGGUGGGUCCGUCCCUUCAAUAGGCUGUAGCCUAAGUAUCGAACCUAACAUGCAAAUCAGCUUUAAUAUCAACCUUUGCACUUUUGAUUUACUUUGGCCCUUGUUUUUCCAAAUCGUUUUUUUUGAAGAAUGUUCAAUUGAUAUUUUGUUUCUGUAGACUGAGGUUCAUGGACACGAAUUGUCCUUCAUUUGGAUUGUAGGUAGAGUACAUGUAAAGAAUGCCACUACUGCUUACUCCUUUAGUUACUGCAAGGACGUACGUAGCCUAGCCGUCACUGUGAAAACAAAACCUGUGUGUUUGGUUCAUUGACAUAUAUGGUUUGGUCACUGUGAACAACCCAUCAUUCAGGUGUGCAGGCCAGCUGUACCAUAUGGCUGCUAUUAGAUAAGGCAUUAUGUUAUGAACUGAAGCACAUAGCAGUGGUCUGAGUCUUUUGGUCAAGAGAAACCUGUUCCUAUAAUAUAUAUUGUAUGUAUUGGCACAUGUUGUUGGCGAUCCAUGUCACAUGGUGUGUGUGUGUAUAUGAGCUGUUUUUCCAUGUCAAUCAGAUCCUAUUGUUGUCUUGUUAAAAAGAAAUGACUCUUACAUGCAUCCAUUUGUUUUGCUGAGAUGUGUUGGUGAUUUGUGUUUGAUGACGAGUUUCAUAAGUAAUGACAGAUUUACAAACGGCUGUUCUAAUUCUAAAAUCAAGUUACAAGGGAUCUUUUUCUUUACUUCAUAAAUCCUGCGUAUCGCUUUAAAUAGCUUUAGCAUUAUAGAACAUGAUUUAUUUGUAUUUAUUUGGAUUGUCUAUGAAAUGAAAAUGUAAAUCUUUUUUGUAUUUUAAUUUAAAGUAAAAGAAACUAAAUUAUUCAAAAGGAAGGUUAAUCAAAGGGCACGGUUUGUCUCUUCCAAGGUGCUGUAGUUUCAAGGUGACAUGUCCAAGGGCAGCCACAAGGGGGCAGUGUUGACCAGAGCCUGGCUCUACUGAACUACUACUGAGGGACUGUCCUAAACCUCUUCUCUGUAGCUCAUCAUCCACUCACUGUGCAACAUUCGCUACUAUAUAUUUCAUAUUUAUCCAUAGAAAAAGGAUUUUAGAAAAUAUUUCAAAGAAGUUAUUUCAUAACUAUUAUAUAUCAAAUAUAUAUUCGUUCUUGUUUUGUCAUCUAGCUGGGCUAGAAUUGUGCAUUUAUUUACAUUGGAAUCAUGGUAGUUAGUAGUUGGGUGGAUAAGUGUACAUGUAAAAAAUGAACCAAAAUAAUGAUCUUAUUUUUCUUUGUGUCUUAAGGCUUUAAAUACUGUAAUUAUGGUAUGGCAUAAGAUUCUAAAUAGUAUGACAUUUUAAAAAAUAUCACUCAACUGCAUGUAUGCAAUGCAGUGGGCUGUCUUGAAGUGGAAACUUUAUAGAGGGAAAAGGACAUUGUACUAAUGAGCAGUGUUUCAAAAGAAGAAUUGAUGUAUUUUGUUUGUCUGGAAAAUAAGGUAAAAGCUUUUGUGUGUAAGUCUUGUAUUGGAUUGUUUUGUGUGAGAACGAGUUGAAUCAACUCACAUAUCAUUAAAUCAGAAUUUAAGGGAGGGUGUCAUAGGAGGUUGGUGGGAAGCUUAAUUGUAGAGGACGGGCUCCUGGUAACGGCUGGAGCGGAAUCAGUGGAAUUGUAUCAAACACAUGGUUUCCAGGUGUUUGAUGCCGUUCCAUUUGUACCGUUCCAGAGAUUGAGCCGUUCUCCCCUCAGCAGCCUCCACUGGCGUGUUUAGUUUUUAUAAAUCAAUACUGUUUGUAUUGUUUGUAAUUGCAGAUUUUGCUUGUCUUGUGAAUUGUUAAAUCUCUGUGAAGAAAUGUUUAUUAAAAAAAAAAAUGUAAGGGCUUUAAGGUUUUCAAAUCCUUUAUAUAGAAAAUAUAAUACUGUUAAUGUUUGUCACACAUGUUCAAUAAAGUUUCUAAGUUCACAAUUUCUUGUGGUGAGGAUGUCUUGGUAUUGCAGGGAGGGCUAAAUCUGACUGUUACAU